rnacentral:rRNA from 1 species
UCGGGAAUUUUGGGCAAUGGGCGAAAGCCUGACCCAGCAACGCCGCGUGAGGGAUGAAGUAUUUCGGUAUGUAAACCUCGAAAGAAUGGGAAGAAUAAAUGACGGUACCAUUUAUAAGCUCCGGCUAACUACGUGCCAGCAGCCGCGGUAAUACGUAGGGAGCAAGCGUUGUUCGGAUUUACCGGGCGUAAAGGGCGCGUAGGCGGCGCGGUAAGUCACUUGUGAAAUCUCUGAGCUUAACUCAGAACGGCCAAGUGAUACUGCUGUGCUAGAGUGCGGAAGAGGCAACCGGAAUUCUUGGUGUAGCGGUGAAAUGCGUAGAUAUCAAGAGGAACACCUGAGGCGAAGGCGGGUUGCUGUGCCGACACUGACGCUGAUGCGCGAAAGCCAGGGGAGCAAACG